rnacentral:rRNA from 1 species
UACGUAGGGGGCUAGCGUUGUCCGGAAUUAUUGGGCGUAAAGAGCUUGUAGGCGGUCUGUCGCGUCUGCUGUGAAAAUCCGGGGCUCAACCCCGGACUUGCAGUGGGUACGGGCAGACUAGAGUGUGGUAGGGGAGACUGGAAUUCCCGGUGUAGCGGUGAAAUGCGCAGAUAUCGGGAAGAACACCCGUGGCGAAGGCGGUUCUCUGGGACGGUACUGACGCUGAGACGCGAAAGCGUGGGGAGCAAACAGG